rnacentral:rRNA from 1 species
CGAGAGCCUGACGGAGCAACGCCGCGUGAGGGAGGAAGGCCUGUGGGUCGUAAACCUCUUUUCUCAGGGAAGAAGUACUGACGGUACCUGAGGAAUCAGCAUCGGCUAACUCCGUGCCAGCAGCCGCGGUAAGACGGAGGAUGCAAGCGUUAUCCGGAAUUAUUGGGCGUAAAGCGUCCGUAGGUGGUAUAGAAAGUCUGUUGUUAAAUCCCACAGCUCAACUGUGGAUCGGCAAUGGAAACUACUAAACUUGAGUGUGGUAGGGGUAGAGGGAAUUCCUAGUGUAGCGGUGAAAUGCGUAGAUAUUAGGAAGAACACCAGUGGCGAAGGCGCUCUACUGGGCCAUAACUGACACUGAUGGACGAAAGCU